GCCUGCAUAGUGCAGUGGUCUGAGCAUUGGACUAGGACUCCAGGUGACCAGUGUUUGAAUCCCUGCUCAGCCA